rnacentral:snoRNA from 1 species
CUGCACGCUCCCGGGCUUCUCUGAAUCACUAAUGUUGAAGAAGCCCCAAAUGCCUGUGCUAAAUCGACCGUCGUCAAGUGUUGCAGGUCUUGUCGAACUUUAUUCACGGCUGAUCUGUGUCAAAUCGACGCCGACAAUU